rnacentral:misc_RNA from 1 species
GAUGAAGAACGUAGCGAAAUGCGAUAAGUAAUGUGAAUUGCAGAAUUCAGUGAAUCAUCGAAUCUUUGAACGCACAUUGCGCCCGCCAGUAUUCUGGCGGGCAUGCCUGUUCGAGCGUCAUUCCAACCAUCAAGCCCCCGGCUUGUGUUGGGGACCUGCGGCUGCCGCAGGCCCUGAAAACCAGUGGCGGGCUCGCUAGUCACUCCGAGCGUAGUAAUACAUCUCGCUCAGGGCGUGCUGCGGGUUCCGGCCGUUAAAAAGCCUUAUUUACCCAAGGUUGACCUCGGAUCAGGUAGGAAGACCCGCUGAACUUAAGCAUAUCAAUAAGCGGAGGA